rnacentral:lncRNA from 1 species
GGAAGACUCGAAGCUCAAAAAGAACAGGUCGAGCUAGAGAGGAGGAGGAACAAGGGAGACACCAGCCAGCAGACAUGAGAAGCAAUGAAAGCAAGAUAUACAGAAAGAGAGAAAGGUAAAAAACCCAGAGGCAGGAGGCAGAUAAAGAGACACAGGUUAAUUUAAGAGAGCUGGCCAGAACAGAGCUAAGCUGAAGACGAGCAUUCAAAACUACUUUUUCUUUUGUGAUGGGAUUUCAUGAUAUAGACCAUGCUGGUCUGUAAUCUACAGUCAUCUUGCCACAGGCUCCAGAUGCUAGGACUACAGAGCCUAAAAUCAGCCAGAUGAUCCAGGAAACUCUGGGAGUCCUGAUUCGCUUCCAAAGGCAAUUUGUUCUUCAUUGCCUGCUGCAUGGAUUGCUGUUUCAAUUAAGGUUUUCCAUGUUUCACAUAAAAGCAUGCACAGAGACUUAAAGAAUCAAUUUCAGUAUCACGGGUUUAUACACACAAAUCACCUUGCUUUCCCUGGUUCUCUUUCUUUCUUCUCUCCCUGGCUCCACCCUAUCCCCCAAUUCCAUUAAUAUUCAUUUUAAAAUAAAACACUUUGAUGUGUAUGUU